rnacentral:rRNA from 15 species
UCAAAACGACUCUCGGCAACGGAUAUCUCGGCUCUCGCAUCGAUGAAGAACGUAGCGAAAUGCGAUACUUGGUGUGAAUUGCAGAAUCCCGUGAACCAUCGAGUCUUUGAACGCAAGUUGCGCCCGACGCCUUCGGGCUGAGGGCACGCCUGCCUGGGCGUC